rnacentral:rRNA from 1 species
CCUACGGGUGGCAGCAGUGAGGAAUAUUGGUCAAUGGACGAGAGUCUGAACCAGCCAAGUAGCGUGAAGGAUGACUGCCCUAUGGGUUGUAAACUUCUUUUAUAUGGGAAUAAAAUGUUCCACGUGUGGGAUUUUGUAUGUACCAUAUGAAUAAGGAUGGGCUAACUCCGUGCCAGCAGCCGCGGUAAUACGGAGGAUCCGAGCGUUAUCCGGCUUUAUUGGGUUUAAAGGGAGCGUAGGUGGAUUGUUAAGUCAGUUGUGAAAGUUUGCGGCUCAACCGUAAAAUUGCAGUUGAAACUGGCAGUCUUGAGUACAGUAGAGGUGGGCGGAAUUCGUGGUGUAGCGGUGAAAUGCUUAGAUAUCACGAAGAACUCCGAUUGCGAAGGCAGUUCACUGGACUGCAACUGACACUGAGGCUCGAAAGUGUGGGUAUCAAACAGGAUUAGAUACCCCAGUAGUC